rnacentral:tRNA from 1 species
GGUGGCUCAGAGGUAGAGUGCUUGCUUUGCAUGCAUGAGGCCGUGGGUUCGAUUCCUCAGCACCA